ACGCCACAAUUUGCCAAUGGAUUGUAGAUGCUUGGGCUAACAUGUCUGCUGGCACUGUUGUUCGAGCUUUCGCAAAAGCCGGCAUCGUUUCCGAGGAGCCGCACGGCACGGAAAGUGACUCUGACGGUGAAGAAAGUGAACCUGGCAUGUUUGAUGGAGAUUUAGCGCAGCUGUUCAAUUCAGACACAGAGGAUGAGGACUUCCAUGGGUUUGAUUGAUGAUAAAAAUAAAUACAUCACAAAAUAAAGCCACAUUCCCAUGCUCUGAGAUUCUUAUGCACCUCCUCAACAAUACAUGUGACGUGUAUGUGGCAGUGCAAGCAUUGUGUUACCAGAGAGAGCAGCAGGUACAAAUUACUUCAACAUUAUAAACUACAUCAUC
ensembl:lncRNA